rnacentral:rRNA from 1 species
UACGUAGGGUGCGAGCGUUGCCCGGAUUUAUUGGGCGUAAAGGGCGCGUAGGCGGCUCUGCACGUCCGUUGUGAAAUCGCCCGGCUCAACUGGGCGGGGUCAGCGGAUACGGCGGAGCUUGAGCAAGCUAGGGGGCAAUGGAAUUCCCGGUGUAGUGGUGGAAUGCGUAGAUAUAGGAAGGAACACCAGUGGCGAAGGCGACCACCUGGACUGAUACUGACACUGAGGUGCGAAAGCGUGGGGAGCAAACAGG